rnacentral:rRNA from 1 species
UACGUGGGGGGCAAGCGUUGUUCGGAAUUACUGGGCGUAAAGGGCUCGUAGGCGGCCAACUAAGUCAGACGUGAAAUCCCUCGGCUUAACCGGGGAACUGCGUCUGAUACUGGAUGGCUUGAGUUUGGGAGAGGGAUGCGGAAUUCCAGGUGUAGCGGUGAAAUGCGUAGAUAUCUGGAGGAACACCGGUGGCGAAGGCGGCAUCCUGGACCAACACUGACACUGAGGAGCGAAAGCCAGGGGAGCAAACGGG